rnacentral:rRNA from 1 species
UGGAGUCGAGCGAACUGAUGAAGAGCUUGCUUUUGGUCAGUUAGCGGCGGACGGGUGAGUAACACGUGGGUAACCUGCCUGUAAGACUAGGAUAACUCCGGGAAACCGGGGCUAAUACUGGAUAAGUUUUCUCUCCGCAUGGAGAGAGAUUGAAAGAUGGCUUCGGCUAUCACUUACAGAUGGACCCGCGGGGCAUUAGCUAGUUGGUGAGGUAACGGCUCACCAAGGGAACGAUGCGUAGCCGACCUGAGAGGGUGAUCGGCCACAUUGGGACUGAGACACGGCCCAAACUCCUACGGGAGGCAGCAGUAGGGAAUCUUCCGCAAUGGACGAAAGUCUGACGGAGCAACGCCGCGUGAGUGAUGAAGGUUUUCGGAUCGUAAAACUCUGUUGUUAGGGAAGAACAAGUACCGUUCGAAUAGGGCGGCGCCUUGACGGUACCCGGCCAGAAAGCCACGGCUAACUACGUGCCAGCAGCCGCGGUAAUACGUAGGUGGCAAGCGUUGUCCGGAAUUAUUGGGCGUAAAGCGCGCGCAGGCGGCUUCUUAAGUCUGAUGUGAAAUCUUGCGGCUCAACCGCAAGCGGUCAUUGGAAACUGGGAGGCUUGAGUGCAGAAGAGGAGAGUGGAAUUCCACGUGUAGCGGUGAAAUGCGUAGAGAUGUGGAGGAACACCAGUGGCGAAGGCGGCUCUCUGGUCUGUAACUGACGCUGAGGCGCGAAAGCGUGGGGAGCAAACAGGAUUAGAUACCCUGGUAGUCCACGCCGUAAACGAUGAGUGCUAAGUGUUAGAGGGUUUCCGCCCUUUAGUGCUGCAGCUAACGCAUUAAGCACUCCGCCUGGGGAGUACGGC